UUUCUUUUAUGAAAUCGGGUU
rnacentral:piRNA from 1 species